AACCUAGCACACCUGCGGUGUGUACCUGCGGAAGGAUCAUUACCGAGUUUACAACUCCCAAACCCCUGUGAACAUACCUAUACGUUGCCUCGGCGGAUCAGCCCGCGCCCUGUAAAAAGGGACGGCCCGCCCGAGGACCCUAAACUCUGUUUUUAGUGGAACUUCUGAGUAAAACAAACAAAUAAAUCAAAACUUUUAACAAUGGAUCU
rnacentral:misc_RNA from 1 species